rnacentral:ncRNA from 2 species
GCGUUCCUCGACUGGAGAGAGGCGGGUGCUGCAACCCGUCCACCGAAGGGGCAAGCGGGCCGCCGGCCGAACCGGCGCCGCCAAUCUCUCAGGUAAAGCGGACAGCGAGGGCACG